CUGCUGCUGUAAUUACUCCGCAGAGCACUGAAUGUGUAUUAAUGCAACAAAUGCACCAUUUAGUCAUUUGUAAGAAACUACAGUUUACUUGUUUUUUUUUAAACUGUAACCAGGUUUUGCUUUUGGUUUGAUCUUCAGUAGGAACAAACAGGAUUCUGUCCACAGCUUCUCCCAGAGUUCAACCAUGUGUGACUUCAAAUAAGACACACUCAAAUAAGCUUCAGAAAGCUUUAAAUUCCCCUCAAUGAGCAAAUCAAAAGGAUGCAAACGAACCUCAACAGGAAACAAGAGCCUCCGUCUCUGUUCAGUGGAGGUCUGCAGCCUGACAAUGAAGGAAUCAGAGUGACCCAGAGGAGUCGCCCUCUUCUCUGAAGCCUCCACCUUUCACCCCGAGCUGCUCUCCACCAUUAAUUAGGAGCCGGUCUCCACACCUCUGCGCCACAGAUCCCCCUUAAAUCCUCCAAACUGCAUGUUUAAAGUGAAGCGAGCUGACAGCAGUACAGAUGUUUAUAGUCUGCGAAGCCUCCGUGUUCUGCUGCUCAACGUCCGCCGCUGCCGCUUCAUGAGAAAUGACAUCAUUCAGGGAACUGAAAAGGAAAGCUGUUAAUGGUGUAACCUCCGAAAAAAGACGAGAUUCCUGGUUCGUGUGAGACAGCAGAGAAGACGCUGUUGCUUGCAGCGCAGGUUACGUCCUCCACUGAUGUUGUUGAUCAAUCAGGAGGAGGUGAAAUUAUAACAGUUUGUCAGAUUCAGUAUGUUUAAACGACUUGUAACCUGGAAAACAGCAGAACGACGUUUGAGCUUCCACCCUCCCCCGAGUGUGACAUCAGAGGAAAAUGGCUGCCAUGUGAAUAUUGUCCACAUUGCUUUUGGCCCGUGGCCCUCAAUUAAAUUUCAGUUUUGGUCCUCAGAGGAAAAAAAGUUUUUUUUUGCAGCCCUGGGCUGGAGGAAAGAUCAAGGGGUCAAAAAAUCAUCCAACCCCUGAGGAUGAGACAGAUUAGCUGGUCAAGAAGAAGGUUCGACCAGUUUCCCUGACGUCUGAUGAAGUAUUCCCGGUUGAGAUACUGCACUUUGUUCCCGUCCUGAGGAAAACACUGCAGAUUGUCUUCGCUUUUUUCCAGAUUAUGAUGCUUUAUAGUCGCCUGUUACUUCAGCCAGAGGCUGGAUGUCAUUUCAGGAUAGAUAGCUUAUCAUGUGAUGAUGCAGGAACCUGACCAACCCAGAGGGAGGAGGCCGGACUAAAAAUACACCAAGCGGGAAGUAUUGCAGCUUAAAAGGUCUCAUUUUGACUGGAGCCACCCGCGGUGAGAAUGACUGCAGCUCUGGCCCUGCUGCAGGGAUACAGUGCAGACGGCGUUCACCAGAUGACACAUUUUGUUCCCAUGUUAAAUACAGAAUGUCAUUUUGGGUGAAAUUAACAGUUUUCUGGUGUUGAGCGAGCAGAAACACGCAGUUGAUGUGAAUAAACAAGUGGAAAACGAGAAUCUGGGAUGACAUCUAGAGAAAUACUCGGUGCUCUGAGCAGAUAAAGGCAAUAAAUAAUUCAGUGUGGGUACACAUCGACAACAAAAGGCAGAUUUCUGGCUGCGUCUAAAGCUCAUAAGUCCUUCCAGUGGGUUUGACAAUCACACUUUUUCCUCUGGUUUCAUGCCGUAGCAGAAAUUUGUCAUGCUGGAUUCUUUUCACAGGGAAUCGCCGCUUUUCAGAAGUACUCAGUAAAAGUCCCUGCAUGAAAAAUUCAUACAAAGCCCGUCUAUUUUCAGUGAGCAAGCUCAAGGUUAGCUCAGACAAAACCGAGUGGGGUUUCAAGUAUUGUAGAUGAAAUUCCCCCCGUGACAGAAUGAUCAGCAGCUACAAGAAAAGAAGAUUUAUGGAGUGCCCCCGAGCGACAACCAGGAUAAACAUUCCUAGGCCCGUCGAUGAUUUGGUGGUCACGGCCAGUUUGCUUUUGACUCCCGGCCGGGGGAAAGACUUGAUGGAGCCCACGCCGGUCCUGGCCUCCAGCAUCGUCUUGUGCUUCGUACCUGCAGGUUCAGACAGACAGAAGGAGCCAGACACUCGUCCAAACUGCCCUCUUCUAUACGCGUCCAGAACUUUAGGACCGGUAGAUGAACGUCCAACAUAUAUUUCUAGACUUUCGGCUUCAGAAGAAAUUCAAAGUCUCUGCAAAACUGUCACUCUGGGAUUCAACCGCUGAAACCAAAGAAUAACUUUUCCUGGAAUGAGAUGGAAUAUUAUUUCAACAGCUUAAAGGAUACUGGCGAAACAUCAGCUGUGUUUCCAUCACUGUAGUUUCAUGCACAUUUUGAAGCACUGCAUUAGAAAAGGUUGAUGGAAACUUCUGUAAACUUUUUCAAAAAAGAAGAAGAAGAACGUCAUCAUGACAUAAUCUGCUGGAAUAAACAUUUUCUUAUGGCCCAGGCGGUUAAAUUCUUCUUCUUCUUCUCCUGCCUCUUCUUCCUCUAC